GAUUUACUUCGGUAAUGACGCUGGGGACGCGAGCGGCGGAUGGGUGAGUAACACGUGGGGAACCUGCCCCAUAGUCUGGGAUACCACUUGGAAACAGGUGCUAAUACCGGAUAAGAAAGCAGAUCGCAUGAUCAGCUUAUAAAAGGCGGCGUAAGCUGUCGCUAUGGGAUGGCCCCGCGGUGCAUUAGCUAGUUGGUAAGGUAACGGCUUACCAAGGCAAUGAUGCAUAGCCGAGUUGAGAGACUGAUCGGCCACAUUGGGACUGAGACACGGCCCAAACUCCUACGGGAGGCAGCAGUAGGGAAUCUUCCACAAUGGACGCAAGUCUGAUGGAGCAACGCCGCGUGAGUGAAGAAGGUUUUCGGAUCGUAAAGCUCUGUUGUUGGUGAAGAAGGAUAGAGGUAGUAACUGGCCUUUAUUUGACGGUAAUCAACCAGAAAGUCACGGCUAACUACGUGCCAGCAGCCGCGGUAAUACGUAGGUGGCAAGCGUUGUCCGGAUUUAUUGGGCGUAAAGCGAGCGCAGGCGGAAGAAUAAGUCUGAUGUGAAAGCCCUCGGCUUAACCGAGGAACUGCAUCGGAAACUGUUUUUCUUGAGUGCAGAAGAGGAGAGUGGAAUUCCAUGUGUAGCGGUGGAAUGCGUAGAUAUAUGGAAGAACACCAGUGGCGAGCGACUCUCUGGUCUGCAAAGUGCAGAAGAGGAGGCAUGCGAUGUGUAGGAGUAAUGCGUAGAUUCGAAGAACAACUCUCUGGUCUGCAACUGACGCUGAGGCUCGAAAGCAUGGGUAGCGAACAGGAUUAGAUACCCUGGUAGUCCAUGCCGUAAACGAUGAGUGCUAAGUGUUGGGAGGUUUCCGCCUCUCAGUGCUGCAGCUAACGCAUUAAGCACUCCGCCUGGGGAGUACGACCGCAAGGUUGAAACUCAAAGGAAUUGACGGGGGCCCGCACAAGCGGUGGAGCAUGUGGUUUAAUUCGAAGCAACGCGAAGAACCUUACCAGGUCUUGACAUCUAGUGCCAUCCUAAGAGAUUAGGAGUUCCCUUCGGGGACGCUAAGACAGGUGGUGCAUGGCUGUCGUCAGCUCGUGUCGUGAGAUGUUGGGUUAAGUCCCGCAACGAGCGCAACCCUUGUUAUUAGUUGCCAGCAUUAAGUUGGGCACUCUAAUGAGACUGCCGGUGAUAAACCGGAGGAAGGUGGGGAUGACGUCAAGUCAUCAUGCCCCUUAUGACCUGGGCUACACACGUGCUACAAUGGACAGUACAACGAGAAGCGAGCCUGCGAAGGCAAGCGAAUCUCUGAAAGCUGUUCUCAGUUCGGACUGCAGUCUGCAACUCGACUGCACGAAGCUGGAAUCGCUAGUAAUCGCGGAUCAGAACGCCG
rnacentral:rRNA from 1 species